rnacentral:rRNA from 1 species
UCCGACCUCAGAUCGGACGAGAUUACCCGCUGAAUUUAAGCAUAUAACUAAGCGGAGGAAAAGAAACUAACAAGGAUUUCCCCAGUAACGGCGAGUGAAGCGGGGAGAGCCCAGCACCGAAUCCCUCAGUGUCACGCUGACGGGAACUGUGGUGUGUGGGACGCCACCAGUCGCACCGGAGGGUACCGAAGUCCUCCUGAUCGGGGCUUCACCCAGAGCGGGUGUAAGGCCUUUGCUGGUACCUCUCUGUGCGGCCGCGAGCGUCUCAGGAGUCGGGUUGUUUGGGAAUGCAGCCCUAAGCGGGUGGUAAACUCCAUCUAAGGCUAAAUACUGGCACGAGUCCGAUAGCGGACAAGUACCGUGAGGGAAAGU